CAUACACAUGCAGCUAGAGUCAA
rnacentral:misc_RNA from 1 species